CCUACGGGAGGCAGCAGUGAGGAAUAUUGGUCAAUGGCCGGAAGCCUGAACCAGCCAAGCCGCGUGAGGGAAGAAGGCGCAGAGCGUCGCAGACCUCUUUUGCCGGGGGACAAAAGGCCGGACUAGUCCGGUCCUGAGGGUACCCGGAGAAAAAGCAUCGGCUAACUCCGUGCCAGCAGCCGCGGUAAUACGGAGGAUGCGAGCGUUAUCCGGAUUCAUUGGGUUUAAAGGGUGCGCAGGCGGGCUGUUAAGUCGGCGGUAAAAGCGCGGGGCUAAACCCCGGCGAGCCGUCGGAACUGGGGGCCUUGAGUGCGGGAGAGGCAAGCGGAAUGCGCGGUGUAGCGGUGAAAUGCAUAGAUAUCGCGCAGAACCCCGAUUGCGAAGGCAGCGUGCCGGGCCGACACUGACGCUGAGGCACGAAAGCGCGGGGAUCGAACAGGAUUAGAUACCCUAGUAGUC
rnacentral:rRNA from 1 species